UUGCUCACUUCAGCAGCACAUAUAUUUCAAUGAGAAUGGCAGAGAGAAGAUUAGCAUGGCCCCUGUGCAAGGAUGACCCACAAAUUCUUGAAGCAUUCCAUACUUUA